GACGAACGCUGGCGGCGUGCCUAAUACAUGCAAGUUGAACGCUGAAGACUGGUACUUGUACUAGUUGGAUGAGUAGCGAACGGGUGAGUAACGCGUGGGUAACCUACCUCUUAGCGGGGGACAACUAUUGGAAACGAUAGCUAAUACCGCAUAACAAUACCUAACACAUGUUAAGUAUUUGAAAGCACCUACUGGUGCACUAAGAGAUGGACCCGCGUUGUAUUAGCUAGUUGGUAGUGUAAUGGACUACCAAGGCGAUGAUACAUAGCCGACCUGAGAGGGUGAUCGGCCACAUUGGGACUGAGACACGGCCCAAACUCCUACGGGAGGCAGCAGUAGGGAAUCUUCGGCAAUGGGGGCAACCCUGACCGAGCAACGCCGCGUGAGUGAAGAAGGUUUUCGGAUCGUAAAACUCUGUUGUUAGAGAAGAACGUCAGUGAGAGUGGAAAGUUCACUGAGUGACGGUAUCUAACCAGAAAGGGACGGCUAACUACGUGCCAGCCGCCGCGGUAA
rnacentral:rRNA from 1 species